rnacentral:rRNA from 1 species
AGCGAACGCUGGCGGCAGGCCUAACACAUGCAAGUCGAACGAACCCUUCGGGGUUAGUGGCGGACGGGUGAGUAACACGUGGGAACGUGCCUUUAGGUUCGGAAUAACUCAGGGAAACUUGUGCUAAUACCGAAUGUGCCCUUCGGGGGAAAGAUUUAUCGCCUUUAGAGCGGCCCGCGUCUGAUUAGCUAGUUGGUGAGGUAAUGGCUCACCAAGGCUACGAUCAGUAGCUGGUCUGAGAGGAUGACCAGCCACAUUGGGACUGAGACACGGCCCAAACUCCUACGGGAGGCAGCAGUGGGGAAUCUUGCGCAAUGGGCGAAGGCCUGACGCAGCCAUGCCGCGUGGGUGAUGAAGGCCUUAGGGUUGUAAAGCUCUUUCGUCCGGGACGAUAAUGACGGUACCGGAAGAAGAAGCCCCGGCUAACUUCGUGCCAGCAGCCACUGUAAGAC